CUCAAGUGUGAGUGGACUGAGUACUAUUAGUCCACUGUGGUUGCAUAAACUGAAGCCAGCCUCAAAGGUAAUUAGAAACUGCAACAUUCCCAGAGGAGGUAUAGGUAGGUAAUGAGUACUGAGAAAUCUGCUUCAUCAGGUACCUCACAUCUUUCUCAAUGAUUCAUGACAGUCAACAACUCCAGCAUAUACAGUUUCAUUCGCAGCGAAAGAAUACGAAGACUUCAAACUGUUUCAUAGAGACGCACACGUACACUACAAAGCCACACAUACGAACAUGAAGUAUUCUCACCGGACACUUGUAAUCUGCUAGAGCGAGCUGAAGCCCUUUCUCCUGUGCAUUUAAAAUGGAACCGAAGGCAGCUUGCUUUCAAGCCACAGACACUAUUUACCUCCUCUGAAGCUCAGAGUAGUUGAGCUGUGAAUGAUAACCUGCGGAUGCGGAAAUGACUGCAGACUGGCAGACGUGGAUCAGCAAGGGGCCUAAUACCAGCACCUCUGAAAUGCUGGCCUAGAGGGUACUGUGAACAUGGCACUCCCUUGUCUGGUAGACCAUUAGCCCUUUUGUGUGCUGCCCACUCUCCCUGAACCCUACCCUGCCCUCCUUUCUCCUGGGUGCUUCUGCUUUCCUCUGCCUUUCUGUCUCUGUAGGAUUUGUACCGCACACUCAUGUCCUGGCGACAUUCUUCACACCCCGACCCUAAAGAGGAUAUUUAACCUAUGGGUAUUUUUAGUCCUUUUUGCUGUGCUUUCUGGAGCAAGGAUGAAACAGUGUGUGUUCGAACCACUAGCUGGGGUCAAGGAAAUGUGGGGUGGUGGUCUCUAAAAUGGGUGACUCUGGUUGAUUCUUACCAUGAAGAAAUGGGGUCCCAAUGUUUCUG
rnacentral:sRNA from 1 species